UGUAUUUCAAUAGAGAAUUGCAUACACACCUUAUCGAACGCUGGUAUCGAAUUUACGAGUUUAAUAUACAUGUAUCGAUAAUAAGUGCAGGAACGUGCGAGUGCAUUGAUUUAUGUGCCAGAUGGAUUUUCUUUUUACAUUUUGAAUGCUGGUUAAUAAGUCCAAGACACAGACGGAUAGGAGCACCUUACGAUAAUUGUCAGACAUGUUCGCGAAUGUUCCGUUAAAGCAUCGAGCCGACGAUCCCCGAGGAACGUUGAACAGCCUUUUCACAAUAAAGCAACUAAUUUGGAGCAAACGGAAGAGUUCAGAAAUCAGCUAUAUUUGAACAAACAGAUAAUUUAUUCACUUCCUGUAGCCGCUUAAAAAAGGCCUCUUGCAAUCUCUUGCGCAAGCGACUCGAUCAAAUUAACAAUGGGAGUACUUUAAAUAUUUAAAAACAAAGGAGAAAGCACUUAUCUCACUACGAAAACAACAUCGAUAAAAUCAGAUUGUGUAUAAUUUGAAUUUUUGUAAAUAAUUAAGAGAAAAAUUAUUCAAUGACUACCGAUAACAAACACCGACUUGCGACCUCUGCAUAAAUUCAAAUAAUUUAUUGUAUUAGAAUGAAAUAAACAGCACUUUUCAUUUC